CCACAGCUACAACCGCUCGAGGUGAGCCUUUAAGUUCUCGAUGAACGCUUACUUCGGCGAGUCUAAGAUGUUAA
rfam:Lactobacillus bifermentans DSM 20003 NODE_6, whole genome shotgun sequence.